GAAUUCGCCCUUAGAGUUUGAUCCUGGCUCAGGAUGAACGCUGACAGAAUGCUUAACACAUGCAAGUCGAUUCGAUUUACCUUCGGGUAAUGAGGAUGGCGGACGGGUGAGUAACGCGUAAGGAACUUGCCUCUUGGACUGGGACAACUGUUGGAAACGACAGCUAAUACCGGAUAUUAUGAGAUUCUCGCAUGAGAAACUUAUGAAAGCUAUAUGCGCCAAGAGAGAGCCUUGCGUUCCAUUAGCUAGUUGGUGGGGUAACGGCCCACCAAGGCGACGAUGGAUAGCCGGCCUGAGAGGGUGAACGGCCACAAGGGGACUGAGACACGGCCCUUACUCCUACGGGAGGCAGCAGUGGGGAAUAUUGGACAAUGGACCAAAAGUCUGAUCCAGCAAUUCUGUGUGCACGAUGAAGGUCUUCGGAUUGUAAAGUGCUUUCAGUUGGGAAGAAGAAAGUGACGGUACCAACAGAAGAAGCGACGGCUAAAUACGUGCCAGCAGCCGCGGUAAUACGUAUGUCGCAAGCGUUAUCCGGAUUUAUUGGGCGUAAAGCGCGUCUAGGCGGAAAAAUAAGUCUGAUGUUAAAAUGCGGGGCUCAACUCCGUAUUGCGUUGGAAACUGUUUUUCUAGAGUACUGGAGAGGUGGGCGGAACUACAAGUGUAGAGGUGAAAUUCGUAGAUAUUUGUAGGAAUGCCGAUGGAGAAGUCAGCUCACUGGACAGAUACUGACGCUGAAGCGCGAAAGCGUGGGGAGCAAACAGAAUUAGAUACCCUGGUAGUCCACGCCGUAAA
rnacentral:rRNA from 1 species